UAAAGGAAUUGGCGGGGGAGCACUACAACGGGUGGAGCCUGCGGUUUAAUUGGACUCAACGCCGGGAAACUUACCGGGGGAGACAGCUGAAUGAAGGCCAGGCUGAAGACCUUGCUAGACUAGCUGAGAGGUGGUGCAUGGCCGUCGCCAGUUCGUGACGUGAGUUGUCCGCUUAAGUGCGGCAACGAACGAGACCCGCACCCCUAGUUGCCAGCUAUCCUCUUCGGAGGAUAGGGCAGCACUAGGGGGACUGCCGUCGAUGAGACGGAGGGAGGUGCGGGCCACGGCAGGUCAGUAUGCCCCGAAACCCCCGGGCCACACGCGGGCUACAAUGGCUAGGACAAUGGGUCCCGACCCCGAAAGGGGAAGGUAAUCCCAUAAACCUAGCCGCAGUUGGGAUCGAGGGCUGCAACUCGCCCUCGUGAACGUGGAAUCCCCAGUAACCGCGUGUCAACAUCGCGCGGUGAACACGUCCCUACUCCUUGCACACACCGCCA
rnacentral:rRNA from 1 species